rnacentral:rRNA from 1 species
AUCAGCCAGGAUGGGCGGAGGUGACCGUCGGUCGACGGACCUCUCUCCAAGGCCGGGCCUGGCGGCACGGUCUCCGCCCAGCCUGACGCAUUUCCUCCCGCACUGCGGACGCCGCAACCGGUCGGGUAGCUGCGAGAGUCGGCCAGAAGGGCGGGCGCCGGCAGGUGGCCGGGGGGCGCGUCGCUUCGCGCGUCGUUUACCCCCGGUCGUUAGCCAGCUCGCCCGUGGCGCGACACCCGACCGAGGUUUCCCGUCUCGAGCCCCGAGCUCGAGCACCCGCCGUCCCCUCCAUCCAGUCGAGCGGGCGUUCCGGCAGGCGUGGCCGCUGUGUCGACGCGUCACUCCUCGUAGUGGCCGGCGCGCAGGGGUGGCCGUUGGUCGGUCCGAUCCAGUCCCGCGGUGGGGUCUUCCGGCGGUUGGCGGCGAGUAGGUCGGUCACCCACCCGACCCGUCUUGAAACACGGACCAAGGAGUCUAACAUGUGCGCGAGUCACGGGGUCUUGACCAGGCCCAGGGGCGCAAUGAAAGUGAAGGCCGUCUCGCGCGGCUGUGUUGGGACUCUCCGCCCGUCCGCGGGCGGGGAAGCACCAACGACCCGUCCCAUCCGAUUCAUCGGCGGGGCGGAGUCGGAGCGUACACGUUGGGACCCGAAAGAUGGUGAACUAUGCCUGGGCAGGACGAAGCCAGAGGAAACUCUGGUGGAGGUCCGUAGCGGUUCUGACGUGCAAAUCGAUCGUCAGACCCGGGUAUAGGGGCGAAAA